UAAAGUUUUAUUUUAGCUUAAAAAUUUAUUAUUAAUUUAUAUUAUAUGUAAAUUUUUGUGUGAUUUUAUAAUUAUUUAAAUAAUAAUUAUAUAAUAUUUAUAAUUACAAUAAUUAAUAUUAUAAAUUAAAGAAAUUUAGAAAUAGAAAUAUUAAAAUAAUAUUGACUUAAUUUGUGCCAGCAGUUGCGGUUAUACAAAUAAUGUAAAUAAAUUUUAUUAAUAAUAGUUAAAUUAUAUAAUUUAUUAAAAUUAAAUUAUAUUUAUUAAGUGAAAUUUUAAAUAUAAUUAAUUUUAUUAAUAAAAUUAAUUGAAGCUAAAAAUUUUUAAUUAAAAACUAGGAUUAGAUACCCUAUUAUUUAAAAUGUAAAUAAUUUUAUUUGAGUAGUAUUAGUUAUAAUCUUGAAACUUAAAAAAUUUGGCGGUAUUUUAGUCUAUUCAGAGGAACCUGUUUUUUAAUCGAUAAUCCACGAUGUACCUUACUUAAAAUUGUUAAUCAAUUUAUAUAUCGUUGUUAUUAGAAUAUUUUAUAAGAAUAAUAAUUUUCUAUAAUUUUUAUUAAAAUUAAUAUCAAAUCAAGGUGUAGUUUAUUUUUAAGUAUAAAUGGGUUACAAUAAAAUAUAUUUUUGGAUUUAAAUAUGAAAAGUUUAAUAAAAUUGGAUUUGAUAGUAAAAUUAUAAAGAUUAAUAAUUUGAUUUUAGCUCUAAAAUAUGUACAUAUCGCCCGUCACUCUUGUUAUUAAAAUAAGAUAAGUCGUAACAUAGUAGAUGUACUGGAAAGUGUAUCUAGAAU
rnacentral:ncRNA from 1 species